AUUUAUUAUUACAGUUAAAAGUACAGCUAAAACAGUGUUCAACAGCUGAUGGAAGCAAAGGUUUUAACUUGGAUAUCAAGGGAGUUAAUCACAAAUAUCACUUCCAGGUAGAUUUUACAGCACAUGAGUUAUGUUUCAUGAGAUUUGAAGAAAUCCAAGACAAUGUACAUGAAACCUCGUGCAUUGCCUGUCUUGAUAGAAAUUUCUAUCCUUCCAUUGUAUACUCACGGUUGCUGAUGCUGUUAUACUCAGAUCCAGAAAUUGGAGAAGAGGCCAGUUGUAUUAAGGUGCCAUUUAUACAGAGAGGU